AUGCGCUCCAAUCCCGCCACGCCUGCGAAUCCCAGCGGGAGCAGAAAGCGGGGGCACUACAAUUCCGCCAACAAGUCCCGCCGGAAGGGCGACACGGCCUAUAGGUGCUCGCCGCACCUCAUCCCACCGAUUAUGAAGCUUCUCAGCGAUAGGCAGAGAGGCUUUGUCAGAAAGAUUGGGUUUGGAAGCCUGCUGUCCAUGGAAGAUUUUGAGAUGGACAGGGCCCUUACCCUGUGGCUGAUCGACAGGUUCAGCUGCGACACCGAGGCGCUCGAGUUCCAAGGCGGCGUGUCGGUUCCGGUGAGGCCGCUCGUGGAGUCCGUCCUCGGGAUCCCUGCGGGCCCCAUCCAGGUCGUGGCGGGCCUCCACGUCGGCGACGCUUUCCGCACUCGGUACCGCUGUCUUAAAGGGAAGAACGCCGAGAAACUGGCCGAGGAAAUGCGCGGCAUGACCGAGGAGGAACCCUUCUGUAUGGCCUUCAUGAUGGUGAUCCUUGCGAUUUAUCUAGCACCCAACACAACCAAGCUUGUCAACAGGUACUUGUUUGGGGCCGCUCAGCAGGUCGGCAGCCUCAGACAGAUGGACUGGUGCGGUUUCGUUGCUGACUAUCUCUUCAGAGGGAUCAGGAAGUUCAAGGAAUCGGAAGCACCCUUUGUUUUUGUAAAGGGCUGUGUGCACAUCCUGAACGUCAUUUACGUUGAUCUUGUGAAACACGCUGCAUUCGAAGUACCAAACGGCUUUCCACGCUUGGGCGUUGUCACUACAGAGCAUAACAAAUGGGUAGCUUCACAUCCCUUUGGUAGCUUGCUGGUGCGUCGUCUAGAAGAGUCUGUCUAUGCUCCCGUGCUCAAUAACAUGGGAAAUGGUAGCAUUGUUAAAGGCGGAACAUGUGCUGAUUCUGAUACAAAUACUGAUGCUCUGGCCAAUCAGUUUGCUAUCACUGUCACCCAUCAAAAUAACCCGCAACCGAUUGCAGCCUACCCUGGCACUGCCAGAACAACCCCUGAUAUAACGAGCUUGGCCAGUGUUGAACAUGUAGCGUUAGAGACAUCAGCUCGAUCUGCAGUGUAUUCAUUUAACACUCACAGAGUUGAGGGGUCCGUUUUCUUGGAAGAAUGCGUAGUUUUUCCAAGAAGCCGCGAGCAAUUGCAGUCUGCUGGGCCUUCUUCACCGUAUUCUGCACAAAUUGUGGAGAAGAUGCAGCUUGCGCCAGAAGCCACUUUGGGAAGGAACAGGGGUUCGCCGAAGGACGAUCGGACACCCGAGAGGGCGAGGGUGGAGCUGCCCAACAGUGGGCAAGUAAAGCAAGCCGGAGAAGGCACCAUAAGGAUGGACAUGAGUUUGCUUAGUUGUCGCGUCUGCUACCACCCCGUCAAGCCCCCUGUCUUCCAGUGCAAUGUCGGGCAUUUAGCUUGCGGCACAUGCCUCGCGGAGCUCCCCGGCGAACAGUGCCCGAUCUGCGAGCACGGCGGUGGCUUUAGCCGCUGUCCAGUGAUGGACGACGUCGUCUUGUCGAGCGAGAUGAAGUGCUCCUACGACGGCUGCCAGAGCUACGUCCCCUAUCACGAGCUUGACGGCCACCAGAGAGUGUGCCCGCACGCGCCCUGCUUCUGCACGGAGCCCGGUUGCGGCUUCUGCGGCCCUCCAGUGGCGCUCCUUGGCCACCUCACUGCGGUGCACUCAGUGCCAGUGCAGAAGGUCCAGUACGGCAAUGUUCACCGGCUCCGGUUGUCGGAGGCACGGUGCCUGCUCCAUGUGGAAGAGGACGACAGUGUGUUCCUCCUGGCUGUGGGGGCCGUGGGCGCGCUCGACAUGGCCACCGUCGUGUCUGCGGUGUGCAUCUGUGCGGGAGCAUCACUAGAGCCGCGACACGCGGUCAAGCUCCGGGCGAAUGGUCCGCCGCCACCGAGCAGCGCAGCGGGCAGCAUUUUGUUGGACUUGAAGGCGGUGACGAACAGCAACAGGCCCGGCGAGGUGGCCGUGGAGGAGCUGCCGUCUUUCUUGAUGGUGCCGCCUACAUAUCUGGUUGGAUCUGAGGCGUCCGAGGUGUCCCUCGACGUUCGCAUUGACAGGGUGUGA
rnacentral:rRNA from 1 species